UGUCCUGUAGAGGUCAAUAAUAAUGAACCUACAGGUGAGUGAUGUCCUACCUGACCUGCAGAGGUCAAUAAUAAUGAACCUACAGGUGAAUGACAUCCUACCUGUCCCGUAGAGGUCAAUAAUAAUGAACCUACAGGUGAAUGACGUCCUACCUGUCCCGUAGAGGUCAAUAAUAAUGAACCUACAGGUGAAUGACGUCCUACCUGUCCUGUAGAGGUCAAUAAUAAUGAACCUACAGGUGAAUGACGUCCUACCUGUCCUGUAGAGGUUAAUAAUAA